rnacentral:rRNA from 1 species
GGACCUCAGAUCAGGCAAGGCUACCCGCUG